GUGCUUGCUUUGGCAGCACAUAUACUGUAAUUGGAAUGAUACAGAGAUUACCAUGGCCGCUGUGUAAGGAUGACACGCAAAUUCAUGAAGUGUUCCAUAUUUUU